AGAUGCCUCUGAAAGCCAACCAGUGAGCGACAGACUGACACUUAGGAAGUCCAACAAUUGCAGGUGGACAUGUUCCAAGGAACAUUCUUCAAAAGCUGGUGUAUGACAACUCCGGGAGAUGAGAGCAUCAGCUGGAGGUGAUUAACAGAACUAAAGCCCACACCAUCCUCAUCACCUAGAGGAACGGAACACAAAUGAAAAAUUGUGAUGGUAAAUUUUUCAAAAGGGGCUGUAAUGAGCAGAGGACACUUUUGACCAUUGUUCUCUGCUUUGUGAGCAGCUAUCUCAUCCGGUUUAUGACAUUAAUAAAGCUGGUGAUUGGCAUCAUCUAUUAUGGCAGAUUCCUGCAUAUGUACAAGGGUCAACAUUCCAUAUUUAAAAAUAAAAGAAUGGUGCAGAUUUUUUACCUCA